rnacentral:rRNA from 1 species
UACAGGGGGGGCAAGCGUUGUUCGGAAUUACUGGGCGUAAAGGGCUCGUAGGCGGCCAACUAAGUCACACGUGAAAUCCCCAGGCUUAACCUGGGAACUGCGUGUGAUACUGGAUGGCUUGAAUUCGGGAGAGGGAUGCAGAAUUCCAGGUGUAGCGGUGAAAUGCGUAGAGAUGUGGAGGAACACCAGUGGCGAAGGCGACUCUUUGGUCUGUAACUGACGCUGAGACGCGAAAGCGUGGGGAGCGAACAGG